CAGCAAGGCAUUUCGUAUCAAGCGGGCGUUCCCGUCAAACAGAUUAAAUCCGCGCUGUAGUCAUCUGCAGCAGGGUUACAGCCUGUGACGUACUCAGCGGCGUGCACGUGCACGAAGUAUGUGCGUGUGCGCGCGUGGGUCUGUGGGGUUGUUGAGGAACUGCAGCUGAAUCGGAGACAGAAAGCGACGACUCCACAGCUCGACAGGCUGCUCCUCUGAGCUUAACACCUGGAGAAGAAGGAGCUUAGGAAUGAUGAAGCAAGUUUCAGAGGGAAGAUGUGUUUUGGGAGCCAGUUGGAUCAGGAUCUUCAGGAAUGUGGGACUCUUGUGGUGUUUUUUUUUUUUUUUUCUUCUUCUUUUUUUGGGUGGACUCUUUUUCUCUCCAACAUGAACCUCAGGAUUCCUGAAGGAAGUUCUUUAAAUGUUGUUCCUGCCCUCCAACCAAAGGGAGCAUCCCGUUUCCUUUUCUUCAUGUGAAGAUCUGAUUGUUUUCUCAUGCUAAUCGGCUCCCAUUCAGGGACGAAGGCGAAGGCCCCAGGACCAGUGGGGGGAGCUUGGGAUCGUCGGAGGUGGCGUGGAAUCUGUGUUGAGCUUUAGAGAAGUGAAACCAGGCUAGAGGAGGCUUUGUUUUGCUCCAAUGAAUCAGUAUUCUUUUGAGAGGGAGUCUAAAGAGCUCUUUCAGCCGCCCCGGCCUCCUCCUCCUCCUCCUCUACUUCGUUGGUAGGGAGCAGACUGGAGGCCUGCUGAGAGCCGGUUCUUUCUCGAUGAAAGGCUGCAGGAGGAGCGAGGAGGCCAGCUGACAUGUGAAAGAGAAGCAGAGCUCUCAUGAAAGAGGAGUCUGUCAUCUCCCAGCACAAAGAGCCAGCUCACAUCUGAAGCAUCCAUCGUCCCGCAGAAACACGGAUCAGGACGUGUGCUGGCGGCGCAACACGCUCUGCAUACAUUAGCCCACUUCCAUAAUCCUGCAACUCAGAUUAUUGGGUUUAAACUGCCUCAGAUUGGAGGAGGAGGAGAUUUGACCCGGUCCCAGUCUGGACCAUCUGGUCCGGCCAGACGGAGCCUUCAGCAGAUUAAAGCGACAACAGAAGGGCUUCAAAGCUGAAAAAUCAGAUUAUUUUGUUAGAAACUGUCAGCAGGAGGCUUCUGGUGGUGGAGUACCCAAAAUCUGUACAGAGUAAGAGCAGCACUACUUCAACAUACUUUAGUCAAGUAAAAAGUAGCCGUCCAAGAAAUUAGUCAA